GAAAGACUUCAGUUGCCCGGCGUCUCCCUUGCUCAGCACAUUUCUAAAUCACAAGUCAAAAGUGUUGGAGUUUAAAGAAUGCACUGGGUUUGCAGAGGGAAGAAGAGAGGAAAAGAGAGAGGGACAAGAGUGAGAAGAAUAACAUUUUGCCUGAAGAGGGUAUCGAGAGGAAAGACUUUCCCUCCAUCCUUCUAGGUUCAAUAGCUGGGCCUAUGACAUAAACUGACAACCGGCAGAUGAACAAGAGAAAAGAGUUUAAAGUGGAAGAGUUUAUCAUUGAAGCAGAGAAAAGACUACUCCAAAGAUGGAGCAGCCGAGAGUAAAUGAUUCUGAAAAAAGAUGAAUGAGCCCUUAGAAAAAUAGAUGGAGAUAUGAUGGUUUGCAACAAGGUGUACCAAGAUGCGGUGUGUUCUGGACUUCCAGUCUCCUCCCCAUUUGCGUGUUUGAAACAAGAUUGCGGCUACAUCCACAUUCCAGCCAGCAGGAAACAGUAAAGUGGGCACACAUGGUCUAUUAAGGGAAGGACACUGCACUUAUUGAUUUCAUAGAGGAAGGGAGAGGGAAGAGAGAGAUAGAAACAUCAAUGAUGAGAGAUAAUCAUUGGUCGGCUGCCUCCUGCAGACCCCCUGCUGGGGAUCGAGCCUGCAACCGGGGCGUGUGCCCUUGACCAGAAUUGAACCUGGGACCCUUCAGUCCACAGGCCAACGCUCUAUCCACUGAGCCAAACCAGUUAGGGCACCAUGGGAAAUAUUUUAAAUGUAUGAUUGAAGCACUUCACUGUGAUAGAACUAUUUAAGCUUUUCAUUAUUUCUCGAGUAAGUUUUGGUAGGUUAUAUUUUUUUCUUAA